UCCAGAGCAAUGCUGAAUCUGACUCCACGUCACGGACUUGUCAUGCACAAGCGAUGCUGAAGAUAAUAAAUUAUGGAGAUGACGGAAAAUCGUUCAGUCGUCGUAUUAGUCAUUUGUUCUUCCAUAAAGAAAACGAUUGGGGAUUUUCCAAUUUUAUGGCCUGGAGUGAAGUGACUGAUCCUGAGAAAGGAUUUAUAGAAGAUGACAAAGUUUAGCCAUUGAAGUCUUUGUACAGGCGGAUGCUCCCGAUGAAGUUGCGUGGGAUUCAAAGAAGCACACAGGC
rnacentral:lncRNA from 1 species